rnacentral:rRNA from 1 species
GGGUUGUGAGGUUAAGCGACUAAGCGUACACGGUGGAUGCCCUGGCAGUCAGAGGCGAUGAAGGACGUGCUAAUCUGCGAUAAGCGUCGGUAAGGUGAUAUGAACCGUUAUAACCGGCGAUUUCCGAAUGGGGAAACCCAGUGUGUUUCGACACACUAUCAUUAACUGAAUCCAUAGGUUAAUGAGGCGAACCGGGGGAACUGAAACAUCUAAGUACCCCGAGGAAAAGAAAUCAACCGAGAUUCCCCCAGUAGCGGCGAGCGAACGGGGAGGAGCCCAGAGCCUGAAUCAGUGUGUGUGUUAGUGGAAGCGUCUGGAAAGGCGCGCGAUACAGGGUGACAGCCCCGUACACAAAAAUGCACAUACUGUGAGCUCGAUGAGUAGGGCGGGACACGUGGUAUCCUGUCUGAAUAUGGGGGGACCAUCCUCCAAGGCUAAAUACUCCUGACUGACCGAUAGUGAACCAGUACCGUGAGGGAAAGGCGAAAAGAACCCCGGCGAGGGGAGUGAAAAAGAACCUGAAACCGUGUACGUACAAGCAGUGGGAGCCUCUUUUAUGGGGUGACUGCGUACCUUUUGUAUAAUGGGUCAGCGACUUAUAUUCUGUAGCAAGGUUAACCGAAUAGGGGAGCCGAAGGGAAACCGAGUCUUAACUGGGCGUUAAGUUGCAGGGUAUAGACCCGAAACCCGGUGAUCUAGCCAUGGGCAGGUUGAAGGUUGGGUAACACUAACUGGAGGACCGAACCGACUAAUGUUGAAAAAUUAGCGGAUGACUUGUGGCUGGGGGUGAAAGGCCAAUCAAACCGGGAGAUAGCUGGUUCUCCCCGAAAGCUAUUUAGGUAGCGCCUCGUGAAUUCAUCUCCGGGGGUAGAGCACUGUUUCGGCAAGGGGGUCAUCCCGACUUACCAACCCGAUGCAAACUGCGAAUACCGGAGAAUGUUAUCACGGGAGACACACGGCGGGUGCUAACGUCCGUCGUGAAGAGGGAAACAACCCAGACCGCCAGCUAAGGUCCCAAAGUCAUGGUUAAGUGGGAAACGAUGUGGGAAGGCCCAGACAGCCAGGAUGUUGGCUUAGAAGCAGCCAUCAUUUAAAGAAAGCGUAAUAGCUCACUGGUCGAGUCGGCCUGCGCGGAAGAUGUAACGGGGCUAAACCAUGCACCGAAGCUGCGGCAGCGACGCUUAUGCGUUGUUGGGUAGGGGAGCGUUCUGUAAGCCUGUGAAGGUGUACUGUGAGGUAUGCUGGAGGUAUCAGAAGUGCGAAUGCUGACAUAAGUAACGAUAAAGCGGGUGAAAAGCCCGCUCGCCGGAAGACCAAGGGUUCCUGUCCAACGUUAAUCGGGGCAGGGUGAGUCGACCCCUAAGGCGAGGCCGAAAGGCGUAGUCGAUGGGAAACAGGUUAAUAUUCCUGUACUUGGUGUUACUGCGAAGGGGGACGGAGAAGGCUAUGUUGGCCGGGCGACGGUUGUCCCGGUUUAAGCGUGUAGGCUGGUUUUCCAGGCAAAUCCGGAAAAUCAAGGCUGAGGCGUGAUGACGAGGCACUACGGUGCUGAAGCAACAAAUGCCCUGCUUCCAGGAAAAGCCUCUAAGCAUCAGGUAACAUCAAAUCGUACCCCAAACCGACACAGGUGGUCAGGUAGAGAAUACCAAGGCGCUUGAGAGAACUCGGGUGAAGGAACUAGGCAAAAUGGUGCCGUAACUUCGGGAGAAGGCACGCUGAUAUGUAGGUGAAGCGACUUGCUCGUGGAGCUGAAAUCAGUCGAAGAUACCAGCUGGCUGCAACUGUUUAUUAAAAACACAGCACUGUGCAAACACGAAAGUGGACGUAUACGGUGUGACGCCUGCCCGGUGCCGGAAGGUUAAUUGAUGGGGUUAGCGGUAACGCGAAGCUCUUGAUCGAAGCCCCGGUAAACGGCGGCCGUAACUAUAACGGUCCUAAGGUAGCGAAAUUCCUUGUCGGGUAAGUUCCGACCUGCACGAAUGGCGUAAUGAUGGCCAGGCUGUCUCCACCCGAGACUCAGUGAAAUUGAACUCGCUGUGAAGAUGCAGUGUACCCGCGGCAAGACGGAAAGACCCCGUGAACCUUUACUAUAGCUUGACACUGAACAUUGAGCCUUGAUGUGUAGGAUAGGUGGGAGGCUUUGAAGUGUGGACGCCAGUCUGCAUGGAGCCGGCCUUGAAAUACCACCCUUUAAUGUUUGAUGUUCUAACGUUGGCCCCUGAUCGGGGUUGCGGACAGUGUCUGGUGGGUAGUUUGACUGGGGCGGUCUCCUCCUAAAGAGUAACGGAGGAGCACGAAGGUUGGCUAAUCCUGGUCGGACAUCAGGAGGUUAGUGCAAUGGCAUAAGCCAGCUUGACUGCGAGCGUGACGGCGCGAGCAGGUGCGAAAGCAGGUCAUAGUGAUCCGGUGGUUCUGAAUGGAAGGGCCAUCGCUCAACGGAUAAAAGGUACUCCGGGGAUAACAGGCUGAUACCGCCCAAGAGUUCAUAUCGACGGCGGUGUUUGGCACCUCGAUGUCGGCUCAUCACAUCCUGGGGCUGAAGUAGGUCCCAAGGGUAUGGCUGUUCGCCAUUUAAAGUGGUACGCGAGCUGGGUUUAGAACGUCGUGAGACAGUUCGGUCCCUAUCUGCCGUGGGCGCUGGAGAACUGAGGGGGGCUGCUCCUAGUACGAGAGGACCGGAGUGGACGCAUCACUGGUGUUCGGGUUGUCAUGCCAAUGGCACUGCCCGGUAGCUAAAUGCGGAAGAGAUAAGUGCUGAAAGCAUCUAAGCACGAAACUUGCCCCGAGAUGAGUUCUCCCUGAGACUUUAAGUCUCCUGAAGGAACGUUGAAGACGACGACGUUGAUAGGCCGGGUGUGUAAGCGCAGCGAUGCGUUGAGCUAACCGGUACUAAUGAACCGUGAGGCUUAACCUUACAACGCCGAAGGUGUUU